rnacentral:rRNA from 1 species
GUGUCAGCCGCCGCGGUAAUACCAGCACCCCGAGUGGUCGGGACGAUUAUUGGGCCUAAAGCAUCCGUAGCCGGUUCUGCAAGUCCCCCGUUAAAUCCAGCUGCUCAACAGAUGGGCCGCGGAGGAUACUACAGAGCUAGGAGGCAGGAGAGGCAAGCGGUACUCAGUGGGUAGGGGUAAAAUCCGUUGAUCCAUUGAAGACCACCAGUGGCGAAGGCGGCUUGCCAGAAUGCGCUCGACGGUGAGGGAUGAAAGCUGGGGGAGCAAACCGGAUUAGAUACCCGGGUAGUCCCAGCCGUAAACGAUGCAGACUCGGUGAUGGGUUGGCUUCGCGCUAACCCAGUGCCGCAGGGAAGCCGUUAAGUCUGCCGCCUGGGUAGUACGGUCGCAAGACUGAA